rnacentral:rRNA from 1 species
UUCCUGUCCAACGUUAAUCGGGGCAGGGUGAGUCGACCCCUAAGACGAGGCCGAAAGGCGUAGUCGAUGGGAAACAGGUUAAUAUUCCUGUACUUGGUGUUACUGCGAAGGGGGGACGGAGAAGGCUAUGUUGGCCGGGCGACGGUUGUCCCGGUUUAAGCGUGUAGGCUGGUUUUCCAGGCAAAUCCGGAAAAUCAAGGCUGAGGCGUGAUGACGAGGCACUACGGUGCUGAAGCAACAAAUGCCCUGCUUCCAGGAAAAGCCUCUAAGCAUCAGGUAACAUCAAAUCGUACCCCAAACCGACACAGGUGGUCAGGUAGAGAAUACCAAGGCGCUUGAGAGAACUCGGGUGAAGGAACUAGGCAAAAUGGUGCCGUAACUUCGGGAGAAGGCACGCUGAUAUGUAGGUGAAGUCCCUUGCGGAUGGAGCUGAAAUCAGUCGAAGAUACCAGCUGGCUGCAACUGUUUAUUAAAAACACAGCACUGUGCAAACACGAAAGUGGACGUAUACGGUGUGACGCCUGCCCGGUGCCGGAAGGUUAAUUGAUGGGGUCAGCGCAAGCGAAGCUCUUGAUCGAAGCCCCGGUAAACGGCGGCCGUAACUAUAACGGUCCUAAGGUAGCGAAAUUCCUUGUCGGGUAAGUUCCGACCUGCACGAAUGGCGUAAUGAUGGCCAGGCUGUCUCCACCCGAGACUCAGUGAAAUUGAACUCGCUGUGAAGAUGCAGUGUACCCGCGGCAAGACGGAAAGACCCCGUGAACCUUUACUAUAGCUUGACACUGAACAUUGAGCCUUGAUGUGUAGGAUAGGUGGGAGGCUUUGAAGUGUGGACGCCAGUCUGCAUGGAGUCGACCUUGAAAUACCACCCUUUAAUGUUUGAUGUUCUAACGUGGACCCGUGAUCCGGGUUGCGGACAGUGUCUGGUGGGUAGUUUGACUGGGGCGGUCUCCUCCUAAAGAGUAACGGAGGAGCACGAAGGUUGGCUAAUCCUGGUCGGACAUCAGGAGGUUAGUGCAAUGGCAUAAGCCAGCUUGACUGCGAGCGUGACGGCGCGAGCAGGUGCGAAAGCAGGUCAUAGUGAUCCGGUGGUUCUGAAUGGAAGGGCCAUCGCUCAACGGAUAAAAGGUACUCCGGGGAUAACAGGCUGAUACCGCCCAAGAGUUCAUAUCGACGGCGGUGUUUGGCACCUCGAUGUCGGCUCAUCACAUCCUGGGGCUGAAGUAGGUCCCAAGGGUAUGGCUGUUCGCCAUUUAAAGUGGUACGCGAGCUGGGUUUAGAACGUCGUGAGACAGUUCGGUCCCUAUCUGCCGUGGGCGCUGGAGAACUGAGGGGGGCUGCUCCUAGUACGAGAGGACCGGAGUGGACGCAUCACUGGUGUUCGGGUUGUCAUGCCAAUGGCACUGCCCGGUAGCUAAAUGCGGAAGAGAUAAGUGCUGAAAGCAUCUAAGCACGAAACUUGCCCCGAGAUGAGUUCUCCCUGACCCUUUAAGGGUCCUGAAGGAACGUUGAAGACGACGACGUUGAUAGGCCGGGUGUGUAAGCGCAGCGAUGCGUUGAGCUAACCGGUACUAAUGAACCGUGAGG